rnacentral:rRNA from 1 species
GCGACCCCAAGUCAGGCGGGACUACCCGCUGAGUUUAA